CAGGGAGACAAACAAUGAUUUUGAUGCCUGAGUAUUUGUAUUCUUAGGUCAAAAUCCUGUCACCUUAGGUCGAUCGGUACCUCAGCUUUGAAGUUAAGGAUUAAUAGCAAUAUUAAUAGCUUAAUGGAGAUUUUUAGUUCCUAAACUUUGUCUAGGUCACACCCCAAAAGGGAUGAGACUCCUGGGCCAUUAGCUCAGGUGGUUAGAGCGCACCCCUGAUAAGGGUGAGGUCCCUGGUUCAAGUCCAGGAUGGCCCAUUCGGUGUUGGGGGUUUAGCUCAGUUGGUAGAGCGCCUGCUUUGCAAGCAGGAUGUCAGGAGUUCGAGUCUCCUAACCUCCACUGACCGAACUGUAUCCCCAUCUCCAGAGAUUAUGGAGUAUGAGUUCGCUUGGUGUGUGAUUUAGAAUUGUUCGCUGGAAGAUCCUAGCUUCCUGUCAUUCUGAAUUGAAACCUGAUUGUUUCAGUUGAGUUGAUAAGAUGCUGGGCUCAAGCUGAGAGAUCAGUUUGAAGUUCUAGCAGAACCUUGACAACUGCAUAGGUGAGUCUGGAAAGAAUAAAGCAUCUCAUGGAUGCAUCAUUCUUUUUUAGAUGAUGUUUGAUUCUUGAGCAAGAGCCGAGACUCCAUCAUGUUCUUCUGAUUGUGUCGAGCAAUCAGGAGUUUGAUUAUUGAUUCAGCAAUGAAUGAAUAAGAAUCCGUUUCAACAACGGCAAGCGUGAUGGAGGUGAAUU
rnacentral:tRNA from 1 species